AUGCGCCAAGUACAAGAGCUUCUCGACAAAGGAGGCAUUAAUAAUAUUACUAUUCGUUAUCGUCAUCCUAUUCCUAGGCUAGAUGAUAUGCUUGAUGAAUUGAGUGGCUCUACAAUAUUCUCCAAAGUUGAUUUGCGUAGUGGCUACCAUCAAAUUCGUAUGAAAUUGGGAGAUGAAUGGAAAACAGCAUUUAAAACUAAGUUUGGAUUAUAUGAGUGGUUAGUCAUGCCUUUUGGGUUAACUAAUGCACCUAGUACUUUCAUGAGAUUAAUGAACGAAGUUUUACGUGCUUUCAUUGGACGAUUUGUGGUAGUUUACUUUGAUGACAUACUGAUUUAUAGCAGAUCUUUGGAAGAACAUUUGGAACAUUUACGUGCUGUUUUUAUUGCUCUACGUGAUGCACGUUUGUUUGGUAACCUUGGGAAGUGCACCUUUUGCACCGACCGAGUAUCUUUUCUUGGCUAUGUUGUUACUCCACAGGGAAUUGAAGUUGACAAAGCCAAGAUUGAAGCUAUUGAGAGUUGGCCGCAACCCAAAACGGUCACACAAGUGAGGAGUUUUCUUGGCCUCGCAGGAUUCUAUAGGCGUUUUGUGAGAGAUUUCAGCACCAUUGCUGCACCUCUCAACGAGCUUACAAAGAAGGAUGUGCCUUUUGUUUGGGGUACCGCACAGGAAGAAGCCUUCACGGUAUUGAAAGAUAAGUUGACACAUGCUCCUUUACUCCAACUUCCUAAUUUUAAUAAGACUUUUGAGCUUGAAUGUGAUGCUAGUGGAAUUGGAUUAGGAGGUGUGUUAUUACAAGAUGGCAAACCUGUUGCAUACUUUUCUGAAAAAUUGAGUGGGCCUAGUCUGAAUUAUUCUACUUAUGAUAAAGAAUUAUAUGCUCUUGUUCGGACUUUAGAAACAUGGCAACAUUAUUUAUGGCCCAAAGAAUUUGUUAUACAUUCUGAUCAUGAAUCUUUGAAACAUAUUAAAAGUCAAGCUAAAUUGAAUCGUAGACAUGCUAAAUGGGUUGAAUUCAUUGAGACUUUCCCUUAUGUCAUUAAACACAAGAAGGGAAAAGAAAAUGUUAUUGCUGAUGCUUUGUCUCGUCGCUAUACUAUGCUUUCACAACUUGACUUCAAAAUAUUUGGUUUGGAGACCAUCAAAGAUCAAUAUGUGCAUGAUGCUGAUUUUAAAGAUGUAAUGCAGAAUUGUAAAGAAGGAAGAAUGUGGAACAAGUUUGUCGUUAACGAUGGAUUUGUGUUUCGUGCUAACAAGCUAUGCAUUCCAGCUAGCUCCGUUCGUCUUUUGUUGUUGCAGGAAGCGCAUGGAGGAGGAUUAAUGGGACAUUUUGGCAUGAAGAAGACGGAGGACGUACUUGCUACACAUUUCUUUUGGCCAAAGAUGAGACGGGAUGUUGAGCGGGCUGUUUUGAAGAAUAAGAAAAUGUGGGAGGAAUGUUUGCCUCAUAUUGAAUUUGCUUAUAAUCGUUCAUUGCAUUCUACUACUAAGAUGUGCCCUUUUGAAGUUGUGUAUGGUUUCCUACCUCGUGCACCUAUUGAUUUGUUGCCUCUUCCAUCUUCGGAGAAGGUUAAUUUUGAUGCUAAACAACGUGCUGAAUUGAUUUUAAAAAUGCAUGAGUUAACUAAGGAAAACAUUGAGCGUAUGAAUGCUAAAUAUAAACUUGCUGGAGAUAAGGGUAGAAAACAUGUUGUGUUUGCACCUGGAGAUCUUGUUUGGUUACAUUUGCGUAAGGAUAGAUUUCCUGAUUUGUGCAAAUCAAAGUUAAUGCCACGUGCUGAUGGUCCCUUUAAGGUGUUAGAGAAAAUAAAUGAUAAUGCAUAUAAACUUGAGCUGCCUGCAGAUUUUGGGGUUAGUCCCACUUUUAACAUUGCAGAUUUGAAGCCUUAUUUGGGUGAGGAAGAUGAACUUCCGUCGAGGACGACUUCAUUUCAAGAAGGGGAGGAUGAUGAGGACAUCAAUACAAUUGUUACACCCACAGCCCCUGCUGCUAUACAUACUGGACCAAUUACUAGAGCUCGUGCACGCCAACUAAAUUACCAGGAAACAGACCCUCGUGGUCAGGUUGAUCGUGCUCCGGCGUGGUCAAUAACCUCUCGGAGUUGGUUUAGCGAUUGCUAA
rnacentral:rRNA from 1 species